UCCCAGUCGGUUGCAUGGGAAUGCACUAAGGCCUACAAACUUGGUCAAACCGAUUGAUAUGAUUUCAAAUUUAAAUUGGAGUCAUCUUUGACUCUAACUAAUUCAUUACUUCUCUAUAAAAAAGAAAUAUAGAGAGCAUAAAAAGGGGGAGGCAGCAGAGAGGAGGAGAAAACGCUAUACAGCAGAACAAAAGAAAUACAAAGAAGUGGAAACACACGAGAGAAGAAGCCACCAGAGAAAGAAAGAGAAAAGCUACAGUCUUCCCAUGCCUGUCAAAUUGAUGGUGUUGCUGCCUCAGAUGCUCAAGCAUUGAAACAAGAGUGGUUGUUCAUGAACAGCCAAGUUUCAUGCUCAAAACUCCUCCGAAACGGGGCUGCUCCUACAAGAGUUAUUGCAUAAAAUUGGUUGUUCACGAACAACCAUUGAAGUGCUAAAAACUCCCUCCAAAAUGACACCCCAUGAUCGUCCUACCAAAACUUACAAGAACUAAGGUCGUUCGUGAACACGACGAAAGUUUUCUCCAUAGUCGGCCAAUGCUUUCAGUUGAUUGUUAUUUGAAGUUGACGAGAAGUUGUUGCUGAUCAUGACGCCACAAAGUGAACAAAUCUGCAGUCAAGUUGUUUUUGCACCAACAAGAAAUACAAAACUGUUGAUCUGCCCAUUGAAUACAGAGGCAAUGGUGAAGUGAGAUUUGGCGGUAGCAAAGCAACCAAGUCUGCACACCAAAAGAUUUGAAACCAAUUGUUAAUUGAACUUCUUUCUUUGUCCACGAAAGUAGUAAUUUAAUUAACAAAGAAGAUGAUAGAGGCAAGCUUAAUUGUAAAACUGGUGAAUGCUUGAAGCGGUGGUGACAGUCACAAUCACAACAAAACAUGGUGGCAAAUUUAAUUAAUGGAGCAGCCAUUUAGUUUU